rnacentral:rRNA from 1 species
UACGUAGGGGGCAAGCGUUGUCCGGAAUUAUUGGGCGUAAAGAGCGUGUAGGCGGCCAACUAAGUCAUACGUGAAAUCCCUCAGCUUAACUGGGGAACUGCGUGUGAUACUGGAUGGCUUGGAUUUGGGAGAGGGAUGCGGAAUUCCAGGUGUAGCGGUGAAAUGCGUAGAGAUGCGGAGGAACACCGAUGGCGAAGGCAGCCCCCUGGGCUAGCACUGACGCUCAGGCACGAAAGCGUGGGGAGCAAACAGG